GAGGAUGUAGGCUUAGAUGCAUGUCCAUGCGUGAUCAUGCACCUGCCUUUGUGUGCGCCCCCCGCAACACACAUUGCGCUCCCCCCCAAGAGCGAUGGCUUUCACAAGCCUACACCCUUGCUUUCCUGCCAAGCUCACCCAUGGUGGAUUCUGCAUAGAUUGGACAUGCCACAGCCUGCUUGUGUCUAGAAUAUAUAAGGUGAUCUGUCAGUCUGCAGUCAGCAACGUGAAAUCCUGCCAACAAACUCCUCCUCCUCGAUCAAAGUGACACCUAGCCUCAUAGCAACGUGCUCUUGCAGAGCACGUGCACAUGCCCUAAUUCUACGUCCAACUGACUCACAGCAUUCAUCUAGCACCAAGGCACACAGAUCAUCAGGCACGUGAUUUCUCUCCAUAUAACUCAGCAGCAAAGGCCUCAAACCCUCACUCUUAAUACCCUCCCGCAACAUGCCCACCAAAAUCCACCACCAUGAUGGGCGACAAAAGGAGAAAGUAUUAGCUAGGCUCAGCGCAUCACACAUCAAGGUUUACAAGCAGAAGCCACUCAGUCAAAACGUCUGACUGCUGGGCUGUAAGUUUAGAGUGAAAAUUAGACAUGAAAAUAGAACAGAUUGGCAAAGGUUUGAGCAAAAAAGAGGGAU
rnacentral:lncRNA from 1 species